GGUAAGGGGGUGCCAGAGGCUGUGUGAAGACGUAGGGGGCGAGUGGUAUCCUGAUUUAUUUGGUUUAAAGGGUGCGUUGGUGGAUUGUUAAGUCAGGGGGGAAAGGGUUCAGCUAAACUGAAAAAGUGCCUUUGAAACUGUCGAUCUUUAGUGCUAGUGAGGUAGGCUGAAUGUGUUGUGUAGCGGUGAAAUGCUUAGAUAUGACAUAGAACACCAAUUGCGAAGGCAGCUGGCUACCCGAAUAUUGACACUGAGGCACGAAAGCGUGGGGAUCAAACAGGAUUAGAUACCCUAGUAGUC
rnacentral:rRNA from 1 species